AAUAGUGGACAAUGGGGGCAACCCUGAUCCAGCCAUGCCUCGUGUGUGAAGAAGGUCUUCGGAUUGUAAAGCACAUUAAGUUGGGAGGAAGUGCGUUAGGUUACUACCCUUAAGUUUUGACGUUACCAAAAGAUAUCGCACUGGCUACCUCUGAGCCCUCAGCCACGGUAAUACAGAGGGUGCAAGCGUUAAUCGGAAUGACUGGGCGUAAAUCGCUCGUAGGUGGUUCAGUAAGAUGGGUGUGAAAUCCCCGGGCUUAACCUGGGAACUGCUUUCAUAACUGCUGAGCUAGAAUACGGUAGAGGGUAGUGGAAUUCCCUGUGUAGCGGUGAAAUGCGUAGAUAUAGGAAGGAACACCAGUGGCGAAGGCGACUACCUGGACUGAUACUGACACUGAGGUGCGAAAGCGUGGGGAGCAAAC
rnacentral:rRNA from 1 species